rnacentral:rRNA from 1 species
GACGAACGCUGGCGGCGUGCCUAAUACAUGCAAGUAGAACGCUGAAGGAGGAGCUUGCUUCUCUGGAUGAGUUGCGAACGGGUGAGUAACGCGUAGGUAACCUGCCUGGUAGCGGGGGAUAACUAUUGGAAACGAUAGCUAAUACCGCAUAAGAGUAGAUGUUGCAUGACAUUUGCUUAAAAGGUGCAAUUGCAUCACUACCAGAUGGACCUGCGUUGUAUUAGCUAGUUGGUGGGGUAACGGCUCACCAAGGCGACGAUACAUAGCCGACCUGGGAGGGUGAUCGGCCACACUGGGACUGAGACACGGCCCAGACGCCUACGGGAGGCAGCAGUAGGGAAUCUUCGGCAAUGGACGGAAGUCUGACCGAGCAACGCCGCGUGAGUGAAGAAGGGUUUCGGAUCGUAAAGCUCUGUUGUAAGAGAAGAACGAGUGUGAGAGUGGAAAGUUCACAAUGUGACGGUAUCUUAGCAGAAAGGGACGGCUAACUACGUG